GACGAACGCUGGCGGCGUGCCUAAUACAUGCAAGUUGAGCGCUGAAGGUUGGUACUUGUACCAACUGGAUGAGCAGCGAACGGGUGAGUAACGCGUGGGGAAUCUGCCUUUGAGCGGGGGACAACAUUUGGAAACGAAUGCUAAUACCGCAUAAAAACUUUAAACACAAGUUUUAAGUUUGAAAGAUGCAAUUGCAUCACUCAAAGAUGAUCCCGCGUUGUAUUAGCUAGUUGGUGAGGUAAAGGCUCACCAAGGCGAUGAUACAUAGCCGACCUGAGAGGGUGAUCGGCCACAUUGGGACUGAGACACGGCCCAAACUCCUACGGGAGGCAGCAGGAGGGAAUCUUCGGCGAGGGACGAAAGUCUGACCGAGCAACGCCGCGUGAGUGAAGAAGGUUUUCGGAUCGUAAAACUCUGUUGGUAGAGAAGAACGUUGGUGAGAGUGGAAAGCUCAUCAAGUGACGGUAACUACCCAGAAAGGGACGGCUAACUACGUG
rnacentral:rRNA from 1 species